GCCCGGAACGGAGCCCCGGCCCGAAGGCUGCGGCGGGAGGGGCGGCGCCGCAGGAAGUGACGCCGCCGCCGUUGCCUGGACACCGGCAUGUUGCAGCCGCGGGGGGCGAGGGGCUGCCGCGGGGAUAGGGCCGCGCCCGCCCCGCGGGGCAGGGAAGGGGGCGGCCCAGGACUGGCCCCUCCGUCUCCACGGGAAACCGGCGCUGCUGGUCCCGGUGGGCUGCCGCGGGGGUAGCGGAGGCAGGGCGGGCGGCCCCGCGGCGUGUGGGAGGGGACUCGUGCUCGGCUGGCGCGCGCCGGCCUAUCGGCUAGCGCUUCCCCAGGGCAGGCGCCGCCGGCCGGGCAUUCGCCUUAGGAGGCGAGGGGAGGGCCGGGACAGCGGAUCGGCGGCCCACCCGAGUGCCCGAUGGGCGCCUGCAAGCCCGUCUUUCCCCUAUACGAGAACUCCUUAUCGCGCAUUUCGCAGAUUGUAUUUGAUAUAAAACCACACAGAUGAAGUAUAAACCACGGUCUCAUGUCUCCCGAGGUCUGACGCAGGCACGCUGGUGGUCUGGUGACUCAGAAUUUCAGAUGUUUGUCCAGUCCCUCACCCGGGUGUCCACAUAGAGUCGGCCUUAACCUUCGUUCAGAAGCUGCCGCAUUUCUUCUUCAACAAAGUAAACCUGAAAGAGCACAAAGAAAUGAAGUAGAAUUCACACUUUGUAUACCUAAGACCAUCUUGGCAAUUUUUAAAACUGCUAAGGAAUGCAAGGGCUGCAAUAGUUCCUCCUGAUGAGCUGCCAACAUUGACUCAACUUGUUUUCUAAAAGCAUCAUCCAUUUCGUGAAGCUUUUCCAGAGCAAUCCUAAAGAAAUGAUUAAAAAACAAUGAAAAAAAAAAAUCACUUUCCUGCAAACACCUGAAGUAUUUUGCUUUGCCCACUUCUGCCUUCGAUGUGGCUAUGUUAUUAAAACUUCAAAGACAAUUAUGUCACUAUCUAGCAGCAGAUGUCCUGUGUUCUCAAGUACGUGUUCUAGUUUUAUGCACCACGUUUAGGGUUUCUGGCAUUUCUCUUUGCAGAAGCAUUUAAUCACUAGCAAAGAUUCGGGCUUGCUACCGUCAACAUGGAUAAGAACUCCACCAGUUUUCAAACGUCGACUUCUCAGGCUUUUGCUUCCCGAGAAGCCAAGGAUUGAACUAUGCAACCCUGUAAAAGGCCUGUAAGCCCUUGUCUCACAUGAACAAAAAAAAAUGUCUGCUUCACAGUAACAAAGCAAGUUCUGCUUUUAGGGGAUAAUUCUAAAAUAUGUAGCAACAGAAAGCAAGGCAAGUUACUCCACUCUACAAUUAAUUUCCAGCAAAAUUUUUGAAAUAAACUGUAAUGAUUUGGGACAACAUUUUUUUGGGACAAAAAACCCUAGAACUAGUGACUAUUUGAGAUGGCUGGUUAUUUUUUUUUUGUUCUGUGGUUUGGGUUUUUUUGGUUAACAAAAAUCAAAAUUUAUCAAAGUAUUUUCUUUCAUUUAUUAAUCAGAUGACCUUCCUUAAGAUAAUAUUGAAAGUGUAAUUAAUCAGUGUGUUUAAUUUAGAAAUGUAAAGCAAAAGACAUAGGUCAUAAACGAGCUUAUUCCCUCAGCAACAGUGUGGCUAUUAGUGCUAGAUAGGUAGGCAGUUUUGUUAACUAGCUUAACUUAAGAAUAGGUGUGAGGAAGAGAAAAAAAAAGAAUAAAGGGCCAAAGAAUAAGGUGUAAAAAAAAAAAAUAAAAAAAAAAUCACACAAACAACCUAAGCUUAUCACAGGCAGCAGUCUACCAUGCUUCUCCGUUAUGCCAGAAGCAUAUAAAGUAACUUGAGCAUGACUAUUUUCUGUGUUAUGAGUAUUUGUAUCAUCUCAUAUUUACUAUUAACUGCUCAAAAAAUUGACAGUACAAGAGGAAUAAUAAAAUAAAUUAAAAACCUGUUGCAUGGGAAGAGAAUGAUGAGCAACUUCUAAACAGUCUAUCACAGACUGAAAUACUUAUUAGGAAUGCUCUAAUAAGUAUUGAGGAUUUGUCCUCAAUUUCCUAUGCAGCACAUAAGGUAUUUUUUCAUCCUCCUGCACAGGUAUUAGUGAAGCACUGUGGCGUCUCUUUUAAGCCCAAAUGCCAGCCAUAGUUGCUAGGCUUGAGCUGUGUCUUGCAGCCAAUUUGUCCAGUGCAUCUUGGUCAUCAUCUGGAAGGUUGACAGGCUCACGCUUAGAGAAGCCCUACUGAAGACUGAGACUGUACCUCUCAUGCACAGGUGUCUGCAUUGCAUGACCCCCAUCAGCACGUGCAAUGGCUGCAGAACAAGGUCCUGACUCUUGCAAGCAUGACAUGGAGUUUCCUCACAGAAGUAAACCAAAAGCACUGGGGAAUGAGCAUUCUAGGGAGGAAAGAGUUUUCAAAGCAAAUGGGAACAUAGCUAAGGAGUGUAGAGGACGAAUGCAGUAACUGAAUGCUAGUUCCACCAAGUAAGUCUCCUGUAUAGCAAGAAUUACUUCUAUGUGAGCCCAACUGCUGCAAAGUACUUGAAGUAUUACACAUUCUUUCACCACAUAGUCAACCACUUCUGUAUACUUGUUAACAAUGCAACUCUAUCCUAACAGCACAGUCACUAAAGAAGCUAUUAAAGUGUUCACCUCUGAGUUUGGAGACUUUUAUUUCUCUCUUCAAUCAGCUUUUUCUCUUUGAUAUCGAAGCUCACCUUCAUUUGUUUAACCUUCGUCUCUAGUUGGCUUAAUAGCUCUC